rnacentral:rRNA from 1 species
UACGAAGGGGGCUAGCGUUAAUCGGAAUUACUGGGCGUAAAGCGUGCGCAGGCGGUUUUGUAAGUUUGUCGUGAAAUCCCACGGCUCAACCGUGGAAGUGCACUCGAAACUGCAUAGCUAGAGUCCUGGAGAGGAAGGUGGAAUGCUUGGUGUAGAGGUGAAAUUCGUAGAUAUCAAGCGGAACACCGGUGGCGAAGGCGGCCUUCUGGACAGUGACUGACGCUGAGACGCGAAAGCGUGGGGAGCAAACAGG